GCCGUGCGUAGAGACCACACUUUUAAAAGCUCAAGCGCUGAAGAGAAAAUGAUUCAUCUAACCUGAGAUAUGGAAGUUGUAUUAUUUACAAUUUGUGAACAUCUCUCUAUUAUAAAAAAAAAAAAAAAACUUGCAACGAGACAAGACUUUUU